GAUUGGAAUCUUGCAGGAAGCGUCAGGGCGGUACAUGGAGAGGGUAGAGCUCGCAGAUCGGCAGCUGAAGUUUCUGCCGGAGGCGUUUGGGCGGAUGCGUGGGCUGGUUUACCUUAACCUGUCCAACAACCUGCUCGAGGCCAUUCCAGAUUCUAUUGCUGGGCUUGACCAUCUAGUAGAGCUUAAUGUUUCUGGCAAUCAGCUGGUUGCAUUACCUGAUUCCAUUGGGCUUCUA
rnacentral:misc_RNA from 1 species